UUCCAGCUCCUCACCGCCCUCUAUGGACCACUGUAAUGUGGUUACAGAAGGAGGAGGGACGGAUGGAUGGCUGUUCAAUUGGAUUUGCUCCUUCCUGCCUGUAAUGGAUUUCACCAGUGAGAAUGGAAAAGACACCCCAGCGCAGCUUCUGCCAUCUGGUCACCCAGGAAGGGGCUGUCACUGCAAGAUAUCCCAAAAACCAGGAGGACGAGCCAGACAUCAAUUCAGAUGCGUCUGUGAUACGGAGAAAUGAGAGGAAACCAGGAAGCGACCGAGUAAAACCACGAAGCCGUGCGGCCUGGACUUUCACUAAAAGCUCGCUCAUCGUUACGACUCACGGAUCAUUUCCGCUCUCGUUCUGAGCCGGACCUUAAAUGAACCAAGGCUUUGAUCAGCCUUCAUGGAAACCCCCAUAAAUCCCUGCACCCAACCACAGAGCGACCUGGACACACUGCCGUUUUACCCGUGAGUGCAUUUCCAUUUCCCCGCGAAAUGGUCAUUAAUAACCGCUCUGGGUCGUUCC